rnacentral:rRNA from 1 species
UUGAACGCUGGCGGCAUGCUUUACACAUGCAAGUCGAACGGUAACAGGUUAAGCUGACGAGUGGCGAACGGGUGAGUAAUGCAUCGGAACGUGCCCGAUCGUGGGGGAUAACGCAGCGAAAGCUGCGCUAAUACCGCAUACGAUCUGAGGAUGAAAGCGGGGGACCGUAAGGCCUCGCGCGAUCGGAGCGGCCGAUGUCAGAUUAGGUAGUUGGUGGGGUAAAGGCUCACCAAGCCGACGAUCUGUAGCUGGUCUGAGAGGACGACCAGCCACACUGGGACUGAGACACGGCCCAGACUCCUACGGGAGGCAGCAGUGGGAAUUUUGGACAAUGGGCGCAAGCCUGAUCCAGCAAUGCCGCGUGCAGGAAGAAGGCCUUCGGGUUGUAAACUGCUUUUGUACGGAGCGAAAAGGCCCUCUCUAAUACAGGGGGUUCAUGACGGUACCGUAAGAAUAAGCACCGGCUAACUACGUG